UUUCAUUCUAGUUUGCCAAAAAACAGAAGUCAGCUUUUUCCCCAGGGAGAGUUGACAGACACAGAAUUUCAACACAGAGAUAUGAUAGAGCUGAAGACAAACACACACGUACACUGAAGCCACUGCUCUGCACUGAAGUCACGGCAAGGAGGUGGGGAACAAAGUGCACUGCAGUUUCAAGAGGAAAAAUAGCUGGAUAUGGGAACUGUGGGGACACAGCCACCUACCAAGGGCAGAGCUAAGAAUGAUGUCAUGGCCCUGUCCCCUCAGCAGGGCCCACCACCCAGGCAAGUGGUACACAGAGGAGAUGUGCACUGGGAAGGCAGCCAGAGCCCAGUUGAACCCUGGCUUUGUCCUCAAGAGAGGCUCAGCUAUAGAGUACAAAGAACAGUGCUUGAGAUGAUGAUAUUAAAAACAGCAAAUAAAAACCCACACUUAAGCAGGACCCUUGGUGGUAGCCCCUGAAGCCAAGAUUUUUUUUAGGUUGGACAACAGAGACAUGCAGUAUGGGGCUUACAGCCACUUAGCCAACAGCAGCCUUUCAUUAACCAUGGAACCAAGAACUCAAGAAGUUUCCUUAAAAUUCACAAGAGCCUUCAGCUGAUUUGGUGGUCAGUUCAGGUGCACUUCUCUCAGACAACUCUAUAAGUGAACUUAAUUGUUUUUGCUAGGAAUACACAGAAAUAAAGCUGC
ensembl:lncRNA